CGCUGCUACACGAGGUGCCACUGAGAUCGUAUUCAAAAUGGUAUUACUGUCCCUUAUCAUCAUCUACGGUGUUCUAUUCAACGCCUUCGCGUUUGGACAACACGGUUAUAAAUAUGGUAGGAGUAUCACAGAUGGCGAAUUUAUAGAUGCGCCAGCUGCCGGUUAAAAUACCCAAACUGGAGAAAUUCAAGUCAAGGAUCGAAGAUCAAGAUCUGCUAUUGAACAUUUAGGGCGAAUACCACGACGAACCGGAAAAUAGGCAGUACACAUGAACGCACGUUGCUGAUCUGGCGAAUUGCUGCAAAAAUGAACAGAGAAUUUGCGUGUUUAAUAUUCGUUAAGAUAUACUCCCCAUUUUCGGUCAAUUUGUAAUUUGAUAGCAAUACAGAAAUACAUUUGAU